rnacentral:tRNA from 1 species
GGAGAGGUGGCCGAGUGGUUUAAGGCAGCAGUCUUGAAAACUGCCGUGGAUGUGAGUCCACCGUGGGUUCGAAUCCCACCCUCUCCGCCA